GGAAUAUUGGUCAAUGGACGAAAGUCUGAACCAGCCAUGCCGCGUGAAGGAUGAAGGUCCUCUGGAUUGUAAACUUCUUUUAUAUGGGACGAAAAAAGGCCUUUCUAGGUCGUCUGACGGUACCAUAUGAAUAAGCACCGGCUAACUCCGUGCCAGCAGCCGCGGUAAUACGGAGGGUGCAAGCGUUAUCCGGAUUCACUGGGUUUAAAGGGUGCGAAGGUGGGCAGGUAAGUCAGUGGUGAAAUCCCCGAGCUCAACUUGGGAACUGCCAUUGAUACUAUCUGUCUUGAAUACCGUGGAGGUUAGCGGAAUAUGUCAUGUAGCGGUGAAAUGCUUAGAUAUGACAUAGAACACCGAUUGCGAAGGCAGCUGGCUACACGAAUAUUGACACUGAGGCACGAAAGCGUGGGGAUCAAACAGGAUUAGAUACCCUGGUAGUCCACGCCCUAAACGAUGGAUACUCGACAUAUGCGAUACACUGUAUGUGUCUGAGCGAAAGCAUUAAGUAUCCCACCUGGGAAGUACGACCGCAAGGUUGAAACUCAAAUGAAUUGACGGA
rnacentral:rRNA from 1 species